UAUGGCCGCCCCUGCAUACCUGUGUCCAUCCCGGACGAAGCUGCUCCCAUCCGUGAACCAGGUCAGGUCGCUGUUUGCGAGGGGGCGGUCUCGCAGGUCCCUCCAGGCCAUCUGGGUCUCAGCCAGGAUCUCAAGGCAGCUAUGUUUAGGCAUUGUCGGCUCAGGAUCUGGCAGAAGCAUGGCUGGGUUUAAGAUGGCAGGAGUCCAGAACUCAAUGCGAGGGGCGUCCAAUAGAAGUCCCUGGUAGUGAGUCAGCCUUGCGUUUGUGAUCCAUCGCCCUGGCGGCUGUUUCAGGAUCCCUUCUAUGGCGUGAGGGGUGGUGAUGUGCAGACGCUGGCCCAGGGUGAGCUUGUCGGCGUCUUUGACCAGCAAAGCGAUAGCUGCGAUGAUGCGCAGGCACGCCGGCCAUCCUGCUGCUACUGGGUCCAACUUUUUGGACAGGGAAAGGCUGUGCGCCCUUUUCUUAACAUCCUUAAAAUGGCCCACAAAAAUGGAAAGGGGAGUCGAUGGUGUCUGUCCCAUGUCCAUACAGCACUCCUAUAAGGAAACAGAUACCGUUAGUUGGUCUGAUUUGGUGCCAUCAGCUGAUCUGGCGUCACCGCUGCACCAUUUCUGAAUUUCCGCCCAGUGGCCCCCACUCGGGGUUGCAUCCCACUGCUUGGAAAAACCCUUUUCAGACGGACCUUACCAGCCCACACCAAAACCCUAUCAGGGGGGCGAGGGAUGUCUCCCUUCGCUCCCGACCAGCGGCUUUCCAACAGCGCAUCCGCCUAGGCCUUUUGCUGGUCACCGUACGGAUUCCACCUCGUACGGAAUUUCUUACUGCCUGAGACCCAGCUGGCUGACAGACCUCCACCCAGCGGCCCCCUCUCACGGUUGCGUCCCGCUGGCUGGAACACAGAAGACAGACAAAGAAACAACAAACAACAGACAAGGGGGUGACGGACGUCUCCUGUUACUCCCAACCGGCGACCCACCAGCGCGUCCGCCUAAGUCUUCUGCCGGUCACUUCCCAGGGCCCAGUUACCUACACCGUACUGAUUUUCAGCACUUCAACUGCUCCUCGGAUCCGGAUUCUGUUCUGGGGGGGUUUGGGAUCCCGGACGAGCCCCCAAAAUGUUAGAGCCGGUUUCCCUC